GUGAGAACGUUUCUUCCCAACAGGCUCACAUUUUUUUGAACACUUCAUUUCCAGGUGCUGGUGCUGUCUGGAUAAGGUUAUGGGAUCUGAAGCUGCUUCUGCUAAGGUAUUUUAUCUCAACAAAAUUAACGAAGACAUGUUUAUGCAAGAAAACAGAGAAAUGCAGUGGUAUCUGACAAACCAAAGAGUAUCUACAUGUUGAAUCUGGUUCGUGGAUCAUCGAUUUGAGACCUCUUUCCCCAGUCCUGACUGUGAGUUAUACUCCUCUAGCUGCACAUCAUUGUCUUCAGUCUUUCUUUGGUCAAUCCUGUGACCCUCCUACUCUAUCAGAAAUAGCCCUCGUCCUUCAGCAUAACGUGCAAGGGUCAGCGUGGAUUCUCUCUGGCUCAACUGCUGUGUGGCCCUACGAGUACCAGCUCUAUAUGCAAAAACAUCAGUGGUGAUUGUUGCCUGUGCUCUUGCUGAUUCUUAUUCAAUUCUUUAUCUUCCUGUUCUUGAAUGUAUCUUGGUUAAUCUUCUGAAGGUCAUGGCUUUAUAGUACAGCUUGUAUUUUUACAAUUAUUUUGUCUUCCUGAGAAUUUUAUCCAUGAGUAUUGUAUUUACAUCAUUUACAUCAUUUUCACCCCACAUUCUUCUCACUUCAUUUCCUCCCUCUUCCUCUCAGCCUUAGGCUUUCUUUUUCAUUAACAAUUGUUAAAUACUUAUGAAUAUAUACACAUGUAUACACAAAUACUACCUACUAAGUCUGAUUAGUGCUGUUCAUAGGUAUUUAUGUUUAGGAAUGACCACUGGGGAUCAGAUGUGUCUAUCUGCAGUUGAUUCACCUCUCCAUUUAAGGAUCAGGAAACAUAGUGAAGACUCUAAGAGCCAAAGGACCAGGACAGCUGCAGCUAUACAGUGUCUUUUAUACGGACAGGAAGCCACAUCCAUGAAAUCUUUUUUUUUCUA